rnacentral:misc_RNA from 1 species
GAAAUGCGAUAAGUAAUGUGAAUUGCAGAAUUCAGUGAAUCAUCGAAUCUUUGAACGCACAUUGCGCCCGGCAGCAAUCUGCCGGGCAUGCCUGUCCGAGCGUCAUUUCUGCCCUCGAGCGCGGUUCGGCCCCUAGCGGGCCGGCCGCCGCCCGGUGUUGGGGCGCUGCGGGCCCUCGUGCCCGCAGGCCCUGAAAUGAAGUGGCGGUCCCGCCGCGGCGCCCCCUGCGUAGUAGUAAAGCACCUCGCAUCGGGUCCCGGCGGAGGCCAGCCGUCGAACCUCUCUUUUGAUGGUUUGACCUCGGGUCAGGUAGGGUUACCCGCUGAACUUAAGC